GGGGGGGGGGGGGGGGGGGGCGGGGACGUGCGGGUCGGGCGGGCGGGCGAGGGGCUUGCUCCUCUGCCGUUCGCGGCGGACGGGUGCGUAACCCGUGGGUAACCUACCUAUCAGCCUGGGCUCCCUUCGGGCACCCGGCGCUCAUACCGGAUAAUAUCUUGACCCGCAUGUUUCCAUCGUGAAAGACGGUUUUGCUGUCCCUUCUAGAUUGCUCCGCGCCGCAUUAGCUAGUUGGUAAGGUAACGGCUUCCCAAGGCCACGAUGCGUAGCCGACCUGAGAGGGUGAUCGGCCACACUGGAACGGAGACACGGUCCAGACUCCUACGGGAGGCAGCAGUAGGGAAUCUUCCGCAAUGGGCGAAAGCCUGACGGAGCAACGCCGCGUGAGUGAGGAAGGUCUUCGGAUCGUAAAACUCUGUUAUUAGGGAAGAACAAAUGUGUAAGUAACUAUGCACGUCUUGACGGUACCUAAUCAGAAAGCCACGGCUAACUACGUG
rnacentral:rRNA from 1 species